rnacentral:lncRNA from 1 species
GUUCUGUUCUGUCUCUUUUCUUUUAUCUCCUUCUCACAGCUUCUACUUUGUUCGUCAACACCAGAGCUUCAACUACGCCAGCCACGUUUAAUAUUCACAAUUAAGUCUGCGUCAACCCCAGAGCUACACUUGCAAAACUAUAAAUUCAUCUCUUCCACUACUCUCCGAUCUCUUCCCUCAAGGUAAGCUAUUUUUUUUUUUUUAAAUAACAUCUUUUGCUAUUCGAUUAUCAAUCGAUAUAUCUAGUUAUAGUUUAUUUUGUUGAAUUAAAAUCGAUCCAUCGAUAAAUUAAUCUGAUGUCUGAUGUUGUUAUUGUUUUUUUCAUUGGAUUAUUUCCUUAAUUUUGCAUCAAUUGACUUGCAUCAACACUCAACGAGGAAGAGAAAAAUUGAUGUUCCAUAUCUCUUUAGCCCCAGAAGCUAAGGUAGUAUAUCUGACUUGCGUAUUUAUCUUUUGUUUGGUUGUAUUUUUUUUUUGGCUCUAUAAAUUUAUCAUUUUUGUGUUGGAUUUAUAUACUCUUGAUUCUUAUGCUUGAUGAUGGUGAGGAGUUUAAUUAAGUUUUAUGAAACUUUUGAUAUUUUGUCUUGAUUAUAUAGGUGAAAGCAAAGGGUUCCAUAGAUUUACAAGUACAGUUUGGGUGAUUGCUUUUAGU